rnacentral:tRNA from 1 species
GGAGGGGUGGCAGAGUGGUCGAAUGCACCGGUCUUGAAAACCGGCGUGUCGCGAGGCACCCAGGGUUCGAAUCCCUGCCCCUCCGCCA